rnacentral:sRNA from 2 species
UUAGAGCGCACGCCUGAUAAGCGUGAGGUCGAUGGUUCAAGUCCAUUUAGGCCCAUUUCUAAUUAAUAUGGGGGAUUAGCUCAGAUGGGAGAGCGCCUGCUUUGCACGCAGGAGGUCAUCGGUUCGAUCCCGUUAUCCUCCAUUAACAGCGAGAGCUGUUAAACGUUGUACUUUGAAAACUGGAUAUUCAAUUUCUUUGUAAUAUAUAAACCGAGAAUUAACACUGCGUUUUAAAGAGUUUUUUAAGAAAGUAUUUCUUAAUCGCUAAACUCUAACCGUGAUACCGUUAGGUAUCAAGUAGGUUAAGUUAAGAAGGGCGCACGGUGGAUGCCUUGGCACUAGGAGCCGAUGAAGGACGGUACUAACACCGAUAUGCUUCGGGGAGCUGUACGUAAGCUUUGAUCCGGAGAUUUCCGAAUGGGGGAACCCAGCCAACUUAGUCGUUGGUUACUCAUAAGUGAAUACAUAGCUUAUGAGAGGUAAACGUGGGGAACUGAAACAUCUCAGUACCUGCAGGAACAGAAAGAAAAUUCGAUUCCCUAAGUAGCGGCGAGCGAACGGGGAACAGCCCAAACCAUGAUGCUUGCAUUGUGGGGUUGUAGGACUGAACUUUGGAGUUACCAAAGUCGUUGAUAACUGAGUCAGUUGGAAUGCUGAACAAAACAGGGUGAAAGUCCCGUAAGUCAAAUCAACGGCUCUUCGUUCAGGAUCCUGAGUACGGCGGAACACGUGAAAUUCCGUCGGAAUCUGGGAGGACCAUCUCCCAAGGCUAAAUACUACCUAGUGACCGAUAGUGG